rnacentral:rRNA from 1 species
GUGGGGAAUAUUGCACAAUGGGCGAAAGCCUGAUGCAGCAACGCCGCGUGAGCGAGGAAGGCCUUUGGGUCGUAAAGCUCUGUCGAGGAGGAAGAUAAUGACGGUACUCCUCGAGGAAGCCCCGGCUAACUACGUGCCAGCAGCCGCGGUAAUACGUAGGGGGCGAGCGUUAUCCGGAAUUAUUGGGCGUAAAGAGUGCGUAGGUGGUUUUUUAAGCGUGGGGUGAAAGGCAAUAGCUUAACUAUUGUAAGCCCCGCGAACUGGGAGACUUGAGUGCAGGAGAGGAAAGCGGAAUUCCUAGUGUAGCGGUGAAAUGCGUAGAUAUUAGGAGGAACACCAGUGGCGAAGGCGGCUUUCUGGACUGUAACUGACACUGAGGCACGAAAGCGUGGGGAGCAAACAGGAUUAGAAACCCCAGUAGUCC